rnacentral:lncRNA from 1 species
CACAAACAUCAGAUACAGAGACGGAAACCCAGGUACAAAAUGAGGGGCCAAUUACUGAAUCCAGAAUGAAAACUCUGCUGGAAAAAUUAAACACAUCUCUGUUACACCAAUUUAAAGAGGUCAUAGCAAAUUUAAAUAAGGAUGUGGCAGAACUGGGCGAACGCACUUCACAUAUAGAAAAUAAAAUGGCGGAGCACGCAGAGGCCCAUAACAGCAUGGCUGACGCUAUGCAAGAAUUGGAACAUAAACUCCAAGCCCACGAAGACAAGCUCAUUGACCUAGAAGAUCGUUCCAGGAGGAACAACGUGCGCCUGAGAGGCGUCCCAGAAGAAAUAGAUGGCAAACAGCUGCUUCAAUAUACUACAACAUUUUUUGCUAAACUCAUACCGGAGGUAGACCCAGAGCUUCUGAUUAUAGACCGCAUACACAGAGUCGGGAGGCCAAAACAUAUCCCGAUCUCAUCGCCACGCGACGUGUUAAUGAGGAUUCACUAUUUCCACGUUAAGGAUCAAAUUAUGAAAGCUAGCCGGAAAAACCGACCCUUGGCAGAAUACAAAGCGCUUCAAAUUUACGCAGACCUUUCCCCUGCCACUCUAAUGCAACGCAGGAACCUAGCGCCCAUCACAACCGCUCUACGGGCGCAAAGCGUGCCUUAUCGCUGGGGAUUCCCCACCAGGAUCCAAGUGCUCAAAAAUGGAAUUAUCCACUCAAUCAAAACGGUGGAAGAAGGACGUAAACUCCUGAGGGACUGGGACAUUCCAUUACAGGAGCGGAAUCAACCACCGGCACCCGGCCCUAAACGGCUAAGCCCUGAGUGGCAAAAAGCACCGUGACCUGCACCGAAACAAUCAGGACAUUAUAUAUUCUAAGAUGGAGAAGGAACGAGGGUGUCUUAUGGGUAAUGUAACUAGUGUUGUUGCAUUUCAUGUUUAGGUGGGUAUGCGGUGUUACACACCUGGGGCUGGGGUGAGGGCUACUCAAAUAGCACAGGCCCCGGAGGGAAAGGGCAGGGUUGCAGCGAUGCCAAUUCCCAACAGGGGAAGAGCUAGAUAUAUUGCCUCACAGGCAAUAUCAGUUCCCACAAAGUUAUGGGUUUUUGGGCAUAAUAUAUAAAAAAAAAAAAAUCAUACUAGAUAAAUAGAAACUGGUGACAGGGACAACAGCCUCGAUGGGAGGUAGAAAAGACGUAUUCUUAAUUGCAGUAAUAGAGUUUUAGCCGACACCGGUGGAAUGGGUUCGAACACUGGCAGAGGCUACCUUUACCACGACCCCUGAUAGUUGCCUAGGCCCACAGGAAGGCAACUCCAGACCCCUAGGGGUCAACUCUUGGGCCAUUAUAUGUGUUAUAUAUGUUGUUUUACUGUAUAUAAGUUAUACCCUGUUAUGUUGUUCUACUCCCCCACCCUGUACUCACUCCCAACACUCUCGCAAAUCUAUAACAAAGGUGCUCAUACCCAACCCAGAAAAACUACGACGACACCCAGAUAUCUCAGCCACCCACAUAAACAUUCAUGAAAAUAGUCACGUAUAAUGUUAAGGGGCUGAACACCCAACAUAAACGUACCCUCCUGUACAGAG